rnacentral:sRNA from 1 species
GCUGGGUGCUGUGAUGCACACCUGUAAUCCCAGCAUUUCAGGAGGUGGAGGCAGGAGGAUCACAAGUUCAAAGCCAGUCUCUGCAAUUUAGCAAGGCAUUAAGCAACUCAGUGAGACCCUGUCUCAA